ACAACUCGUCUUGUUUUUUAAACGUGGCCAGUGCCUAUUAGGAUUGGGAGGCAUUGGGAAUGAAAUUGUUGCAUCAUUCUGCACUCAAACUGUUACGGUGAACGAAGACAUCUCCAGAGUGCAUACGUGAUCCAGAGGGAUGCGUUCCGCCAGCACGUACAGGUACCUCUGCUCAGUGUUGUUUGGGUGUGUGGACGUACGAUGGCCAUGUCGAGGACAUCUACUUGAGUCUCACAACAGCACGUUGCAUUAACACGCGACUUUAAUUGCUCAUUCCACGGCGCCCCGUCUGUACCACGUCCAUGAUCACGACCGUGAAAGCGCGUCCAUGCAGCCGAGAUGUAGUUAAGUGUACUCCCUCUAUUUAUUUAUACAAGGUCAUUAUAAAAAACACACUUUGCAUCUAUACAAGGCCACAAACAGUAAUCGAAACAAAAGUUAAUGACAUUUUCUUUACUA